rnacentral:rRNA from 1 species
UACAUGGGGUGCAAACGUUGCUCGGAAUUAUUGGGCGUAAAGGGCGCGUAGGCGGCCAGCGCAAGUCAGUUGUGAAAUCUCCGAGCUUAACUCGGAAAGGUCAACUGAUACUGCGCGGCUAGAGUGCGGAAGGGGCAACUGGAAUUCUCGGUGUAGCGGUGAAAUGCGUAGAUAUCGAGAGGAACACCUGCGGCGAAGGCGGGUUGCUGGGCCGACACUGACGCUGAGGCGCGAAAGCUGGGGGAGCGAACGGG